GGGCGUAAGGGCUCCGCAGGCGGUUUCUUAAGUCUGAUGUGAAAGCCCCCGGCUCAACCGGGGAGGGUCAUUGGAAACUGGGAAACUUGAGUGCAGAAGAGGAGAGUGGAAUUCCACGUGUAGCGGUGAAAUGCGUAGAGAUGUGGAGGAACACCAGUGGCGAAGGCGACUCUCUGGUCUGUAACUGACGCUGAGGAGCGAAAGCGUGGGGAGCGAACAGGAUUAGAUACCCUGGUAGUCCACGCCGUAAACGAUGAGUGCUAAGUGUUAGGGGGUUUCCGCCCCUUAGUGCUGCAGCUAACGCAUUAAGCACUCCGCCUGGGGAGUACGGUCGCAAGACUGAAACUCAAAGGAAUUGACGGGGGCCCGCACAAGCGGUGGAGCAUGUGGUUUAAUUCGAAGCAACGCGAAGAACCUUACCAGGUCUUGACAUCCUCUGACGACCCUAGAGAUAGGGCUUUCCCUUCGGGGACAGAGUGACAGGUGGUGCAUGGUUGUCGUCAGCUCGUGUCGUGAGAUGUUGGGUUAAGUCCCGCAACGAGCGCAACCCUUGAUCUUAGUUGCCAGCAUUCAGUUGGGCACUCUAAGGUGACUGCCGGUGACAAACCGGAGGAAGGUGGGGAUGACGUCAAAUCAUCAUGCCCCUUAUGACCUGGGCUACACACGUGCUACAAUGGACAGAACAAAGGGCUGCAAGACCGCAAGGUUUAGCCAAUCCCAUAAAUCUGUUCUCAGUUCGGAUCGCAGUCUGCAACUCGACUGCGUGAAGCUGGAAUCGCUAGUAAUCGCGGAUCAGCAUGCCGCGGUGAA
rnacentral:rRNA from 1 species